rnacentral:lncRNA from 1 species
UUUAAACUACAAGAUACACUUGAUUUUACAUUGGUAUGCAUAUCGGUAUCAUCUACUGAAUUUUAAUUGUCAUGAUUAAACAAGCCAAACUAUACACAUUGAAUCUAGCACUACUAACAGGGCGGCUGAGCAAUCAUAACAAUUCAGUAGUCCAAAUUAAAAUAGUUCGAACAGUCCUAAUUAUACAAACAAUAUAAAGAUUCAAAUAAACCAUGGCCGUUUUACAUCUUUAAAUAAAAAGUAAAAAAGGAAACAUUUAGAGAUCAACUCAAACAGCACUUUAUCAUUUAAUCAUUCAAAUCAGAUCUACAUUGAUCAUUCACUACGAGACCAAGGGGAGUACCUGGAGGUGAAUAAACAAAAGGAGUAAGAAUCAGCACAUCAAACAAUAGGAACUGGAACUCAACAGCAAAAAAAACCAGUUUCAACCCCUGAAUAAACUCAAAACAAUCCAGGAGUGGAUCACAGAAGAACAACACCACUAGACGGCCAAAAUAACUUGAUUGAAGCAAAUCAGACUCGAAGUUAAACCAGAAAAUCUUCUGAAGAUUUAAAACCCAAAACCACAGAAUUUUCAAGCAAUUUUUGUCUUUAUCUAAACUAGAAAUUUGAAUCAAAAGUGGAAUUCCAAAUUACUCUAAGGAAAAGUUUCAAUGAAAUAUUAUUUUUGGAGUUUCGUGUUAUUUUGUUGGGGUUUUUCAGAAUUUCUAAGAUGUAAAUCAACUUUCUAACUCUCAUAUUUCAAUAUUGGUUUUUGAAUUUUUAAUUCAAAUUUUCAGAUAUCCUCCUCCUUCUCAAGUAAGGAAGGGCGGGUUGUCUUUUAUAUUACUAGGCAACUUUCAGAUUUUUUUCAGUUGUUUCAUUUUAGUCCUUCCUUAAUUUUGGUUUUUGCUCAAAAUACAUAAUGGCUGACUUCAUUCUCAAGCUAUACUACUAACUUUUACUUAUAUCCAACUUAACACCCCAACCUAGACACUUCUAGAUGGUUCUAUUCUCUUUUACUGCAAUAUUCCCUAAGUAAACUACCCUUAUUGUCCCUGUAUUAGUCCUAAAAUUCUUAACCUAUGUUAAGUAACCUAGCCUUUCUAACUAUUUGUGGUCAAUUAAGAUUCAAACUAUUCAGCUAUAGCCCCAGUUCUUUAAUCAACAAAAUUAAACUAUCCUACUUUAAAUUGAAUUAACCACUUAAUACGUAUCCUAUGACUAACUGUAUCAUUGCACUAAGUGAAUAAUUCAAACUCGAAACUAUGCUGUAAAAAUAGCACGAUAAACAAAAAAUGUAAAAGCAGUAACAAACAUGAAAUCAUACGAUUAAACUUAAACAACAAUCAAAUCACUAACUAUAUGGUUGUAGAAAUCAAGACCCUAACUCAAACCCUAACUCAACACAAAGAAAAAAGUAAUUUUGAAUAAAAAAAUAGAAGAAUAAAUAAUACAAAUCAUGCAUGAAAAGGAAAAUGGAAAAGAACAUGGGAAUAAAACAUCUACUUCAAAUUUGAACUCUAGCAGGCUAAAUUUGGAAUUAACUGGACUAAAACUGUCCUUAAUCAUGUGUUUCCAUGAGAAAACACAAGAUUAAGGACUAUUAUGGUCCAAAAUCAGUGAACCCUUGAGCCUUGAGAGAUUAGGGUUUCUGGCCAAACUUCAAUAUGAAAUUCAAGGCGGUCCAGUGAGAUUCGAAAGGAUUCAGUUUACGGUUCAGGAAGAGGAGGGUGAGGAAAGUAUAGGGUGUGAAUUUGGUCGUAUUUGGAAAAGUUAGGUUUUUCGUCAGAGAGGUUUUUCGUCAGAGUCUUUGAUUCAAGAUUCGAGCGAUUUUGAUAGGAUUUGAAAGGAAAUAAGUGUAGAUAUGGAACGAGGAGGUAAAGAGGAAGCUAUGGUGUAAAUUUUCUGGGAUUUGGAUACUUGCCGCCAGUAGAGACGAUUUCCGGCCGGCAACGGAUGGUGGAGGGCGACGACAUUAGGUUUUGUGUGUGUAGAGUGAUUUGAGACAGAAAGGGAGGGGGAGCAUGCGCUUGGACACUAAUAUGUCAAGAAUCGUCAGUUCCUGACCGUCAAAUAAAAUAACCUAGACGGUCAGGAUUAAAAAUGCACUAAACAACGUCACUUCGUCGUAACAAAAGCUUGACUGGGUAUUGGUGUGAUUUAGGCCUGAUUUUGGCCGGAUUUUGGGGUUUUAACUUGGGCUGGUGAGAUUAACUUGAAUACUGGUCCAAAUUCUUUUCCUCUAUUUGUUUUUCUUUUUUUCUUUUCUUUUUCAAUUUCCAAAUUAAACUAAAAUUAAACCUCCCAAUUAAUUUAAAUUAUCCAAUUAAACUACAAUUAAUGUAAUAUAAAUUUAAAAGAAAUUAGAAAUCCUAAGACUAAAAUUAAAAAUCGGAUAAAGCAAAUAAAGUUUCUUUAUGAUCUUCGUUUAUAUUUGUAAAAGCCUAAUCACUAAUUGGUCUAAAAAUAUAAAAAAUUAAAUUCUAAUUGUUCAUGCAAAUUUUUGUAUUUUUAUAUGAUAUAUCAUGCACACACAAAAAAAAUAACACAAAAAUAAACAAUUAAAUCCUAAAAAUCAAAUACUAAAAACAACAAUCCUAAUUUUAAGAAUUUUAUAAGAGUAAUUUAAACGAGGCAAAAAUCACAUGCUCACAAUAAGUACGGAGAUCUUCAUUUAUUCAAACCAAACAAACCAUUCUUACAUGUUCAGAAUCAGAAGUACGUACCUGAAUAUAGCAAACAAAACCAGAAACAUAGCUUGAGGCUAGGGGGAAGCAGAAAGCAGGAAUGCAACAGUACCCUAACCAGCAGCUCAAACCAACCCUCAAACCAUUUUCAACCAAUGAUACCAAACAAAAACUAGCUGCUCGAUUUGGAACUUUCAGAGAUUCCAAUGGACCAAAAGAAACAAAAACCAGGAACCAAAUACCAACUUUUUUGGCAGAAUUUCAGUAUUUUAGAACUUGAAAGAAGCCGAGCCAUUUGCAAUUUUUUUUUAGAAUUCUAGUCUCUAAUUUUUCUAAGUUGUGAGUGAAGAAAGAAUGCCUUUAUAGGCAAGCCUUAGGGCAGAAAAGAAUGAAUUCAGUUUGCAUAUUGAUCAUUUUAGAAUUUUGACUUUUGCUGUUAUAUCCUUAAUUUACAAAUUAGGUUUCUGAUCAGAAGACACUUUCCCAGAAGCUUCCUAGAUCAGAAAUAAAAAUAUUCCCUUGCCUAAAUUCCUAAUUUAACCUUUGAACCUCUAUUUUUUACCUUAGAAAGCCAAAUAGGUCAAAUUGACCCAAUAGCUCAUCCCAAACCUGGCUUGCAAGACCCGAAUUGAGUCUUUUUCCUAGGCUUGUAAUUUAACAAAGCCUCAAUUCAACAUUGAAAGCUCAAAAUCUCUCAAAUGUUCACUUACACAGUCUUAAGAACUCGUGAAAAAAAAAAUUUUGGCCUAAAUAGAAAAAUAGGAACAGAAAAUCAAAACACAUACAAAACUUAAAACCAAAAAAAAACAAAUGCUAACUAUACAACUCAAAGACUAACCUGCAAACACGGAUGAUUGAAAGAAAUGAAAGAACUGAAAAACAAAAAUCAGAAAAAAUUACGAAAUAGGGCAAGAUGAGAAGAGAACUACAAAUGAAAGUUAAAUAUCAAAAGAUAAAGAAUAAAGAAAAAUAUCUAAUAAUGGCCCAGACAGUGGAAAAUUAAAAAGAAACCUUCAAACGUUCAAAUUUUGGCCGAGUUUGACUUUAAUCGUGUGUCUUUUGAAGAACACACGAUUAAAAUCCAACUAGAUCCCAACUCUUCACUUAAAUUUUGAUUUGGGGUUUUGAGAUUUUUUAGGGUUCGAAAGUUUUGAUUUAAGAUUCAAAGAGGAUUAGGGUGAUUCGAGGGAAAAGGGUGCCGGAUUGGGGAAGGGGAGACCAUAGGAAUUCUAUGGUGUUAAUUUGGAAUGGGUUCGAGGCAGUGCCACCGGCCUGAGGUGGUGGGGAAAUACGCGGCGGUAGGAUUUAGAGGAACAGAUAUCCAAAAAUAGGAGAGUAAAG